rnacentral:rRNA from 1 species
AGGAUUAACGCUGGCGGCGUGCCUGACACAUGCAAGUCGAACGAGGCCGCAAGGCCUAGUGGCGGACGGGUGAGUAACACGUGACCAACCAACCUCGAAGACCGGGACAACACCGGGAAACCGGUGCUAAUACCGGAUACCCCCACCGGACCGCAUGGUCUGGCGGGGAAAAGGAUUCCGCUUCGGGAGGGGCUCGUGGCCUAUCAGCUAGUUGGCGGGGUAACGGCCUACCAAGGCUUCGACGGGUAGCUGGUCUGAGAGGACGAUCAGCCACACUGGGACUGAGACACGGCCCAGACUCCUACGGGAGGCAGC